UACGUAGGGGGCAAGCGUUGUCUGGAUUUAUUGGGCGUAAAGAGCGUGUAGGCGGCCAGACAGGUCCGUUGUGAAAACUCGAGGCUCAACCUCGAGACGCCGAUGGAAACCAUCUGACUAGAGUCCGGAAGAGGAGAGUGGAAUUCCUGGUGUAGCGGUGAAAUGCGCAGAUAUCAGGAAGAACACCCGUGGCUAAGGCGGCUCUCUAGUACGUGACUGACGCUGAGACGCGAAAGCGUGGGGAGCGAACAGG
rnacentral:rRNA from 1 species